rnacentral:rRNA from 1 species
AUGAAGAUUCAUCAAUCUAAACUUAGAAAAUCAAACUGUGGAGAUACAUGUAAAAUUGGUAGAUCAGGACAUCCACCAAAGUAUAUAUGCAUGGUGUACACUGGGAGUACUUCGUACAACACAAAAAGUCGUAGAAUACAUCUCAAGGAGCUGGUGGUGUGCGACCCCUUGCACCGGCGCCACCUCCUGCUGCCCCGAAUCCCUGCACUCGACGAGUGGCUUCCUUCGGCCACGACCGGCGGGAUAGGAUGGCAGAUCUUCCUCCUCGGCGGCGGCGACGACGACGACGAGGAGGCUGCGGAAGAGACUUCUUUCAGAGUGAUAUGGAGGGCAGAGCGUGAAGAUGAUGGUAAUCAGGUCGCCUUCGUCUUCUCUUCCAGCACGGGACAAUGGCGAGCUGGUCCGCCGUUGUCAGGGUUGGCCUCCUUCUCCUGGCGCCAAUAUGUGCAUGGCUGCUUGUACGGGAUGACAGAUUGCCGGGAGAAGCUACGUGUGCUCGACACCCGGACGAUGGAGUUCUCACUCCUCGACCUCCCGCUGGAAGCCAGAGGUUAUGCUUAUGUGUAUGUAGACGUUGUGGAGGCAGGGGAGGGCAUCACUGGGUUGUUUGUGCGACCAAGGGGGACACCUGAAAUCAGAUAUUUCACUAGGCGAAACAGUGGUCUGAGUUCCAGCCAGUGGCAGUUGGAGAAGAUAGUCUCACUGGGUUCUUCUCAAUGGCAGUGGGCGGGUUCACCAAGGCCGAACUUGUUCCUGCGUCACUGCGGAAGCCCAUCGCUUGAUGGUGGCCUUUUCUCACUGGAUAUCAAGACAUUACAGCUUGAGAGGGUGCUUGGAUCAGAGUCUAGCAUGCUUUACCCGUGGCCAUGUACCAACUUUCCACCAUUUCUGUCGACACCAACAGUAUCAAGUGAUACUCAGGAAGGUGAUGAGAAGGAGAUGCCGGAACAAGGUGCUGAGAUGCUGCAAGAUGACGAGCCCACAGGUAGCCUUCACGACGAGCGCACUGCUGAUGACGUGAAUGCUGGAGGCCAGUUUAAUUAUGACUAUGUGGUUGUGAUCGUGCUGUAUGCCUGCCCCAUGUGGCAUGAAUGGAACCAGUCAGUAAACAUGGGCUUGAUCAUCGUGCUCAUUCAUCAUCACUUCGUUGAUCCUUGGAGAAUACAACCUUCUGGGUUAAAAAACUACCACUUCUCUUACACGACCUUGCAGGAUGCUUUUCUUCUCCUCGAACCUAUGUCGAAAUGUGUGUCAUUUUGUAGGAGGUCGUCAAAUUUGGUCACACUUCCUGACAUCCUCCUACUCCUCCUUCACAUGGCAAUCCUGGUCCAAGGAUACACGUUAAGGAUCAGAAUGAAGACAAAUGGUAUCAACCAGCAACCAGUUGUCCCCCUUGUGGAGCCAGAUGCAAAGUUUAAAGCCAUUGACAUGGAUGACAUAUACACCGGAAGGAUCAUCUGCCCAUGA